AAGUCGUAACAAGGUUUCCAACAAGACUGCACAAGAGGAACCCCAAUGAACAAUCGGGUGGCUCGAAGUUCCGCGGAACGACGGUCUGAGAUACCACCAUAAUGCGUCUUCGGGAAAGAGGGCGUCGUGCUCAACGAAGUGGCUCGGUGUGCGUCUAAAAGUGCACUGUUGCAAAACUGACUAAACCCAACCAGCGCAAGCCUAACAAAACCCCGCACAACUGUUAACAAUGGAUAUCUUGGCUCUC
rnacentral:misc_RNA from 1 species